UCCUCCCACAACCAAAAGUUCAGAUGAUUUUCCCAAAAGCGCAAGACCCUGGAAAGUUUUUUCGUGUUUGUUAAAGGUUCUUUUGGAUCACUUUUAUCUUCACCAGAGGAUUUGAAAUUGGAGCAAAGUUUUAAAUGAAUUGAUGAUUGCAAUCUGAACAAAGUUGAGAAUAAAUUGAGAAAUAUAUCAUACUACUUUUGGAAAACUUCUGAUUCUUCCUUUUAAUAUUUGCACUUCUGAAGUUUCAACUUGAAACUAUGGUUUUUCAAUUGAGUCAGAACGUCGUUCAUGGUUCAUUGUGUUCUUUUCAAUCUGUAUACUACCAAUUAAUAAAUUGCCUCCAUUGCUUUAA